ensembl:lncRNA
GCGCACCCCUGUUUAUAAUGAUGGGGAACUCUGAACUGUCAGCGGUCGGUUAUCAAAACAUUGGCCAAAUAACCAGACUGUGCCAGACUCUCAAUAAAACAUUUAGGACAAAUCCACGGUCAUGAAGAUACUCAUCUAACGUUACAUAGAAUCUGCGUGAGGAAGAGGAGCAGGAAGAGGAGGAGGGUCCAUGUCGCUAAAUACCAACUUUCCAAAGACCACUUUUCCCACCCGGUGUCGCUCCGAUCUGCCGGCGCAUCGCGAAGAAAACCAAUCGGGUGUCUGGAUGCUAAAUGUUUAUACAUCUCAUCCAAACACAAUCACAUUCACUCCGUCCGCAUAGCGCCAUUUAUCUAGAUGGGUUUUUUGUCUUUUCACUGUUUUUAAAAUGUAAGGAGUAAAAAGUGCAGAUAUUUGCGUGAAAAUGUAAGGAGUAGAAGUAAAAAGUCGUUGUGAAAAAUAAAUACUCCAGUAAAGUAUAGAUACCCAAAAUUUCUACUUAAGUACAGUAACGAAGUAUUUGUACUUCGUUACUUGACACGUCUGGUGCAGAUCUACUUCACCUUAUAGAACCUUUCAAUUCUCACUUUAUGCAAUGAUCCUUUGCAGAUUUGAUCAGCAUCUUACAGUCCAGGAAGUCGGAUAGUGGCCCGGAGUCCUUAAGUUUGAUUUGGUUUGACGAAUGCCGGAGAUACUCUGUUUUGUUUCGUUGGUUUAUUAAAACUUCUACAAAGACACCCUCUGCCUCUUGACUACUGCGCUGCCAUUUAUUCGGAAUCCUUCGUGCCAUGCUGUUACGGUAUAUUUACAGUAUAUAUUUUAUAUAUUUAUAUACUAAUUUGAUGGCAAGUGGUACAACGACGCAGUAGAAAUGGAGGUUAAAUGCCCCAUUUGAUGCUAGCAACAGAAAAAUGCAUUGGGACAAGCUUCACCUCUAUUUUAAUGUAUAUAGGCCUAUUUGUUUGAGAAGUUAGCUGUUCAAUAAGGCAAUGCUAUCUCAAGGGAAGACUUUAGCCAAGGGUGCUGCAGUACAAAUUUACCAACAAGAGCAAGACACACUGGCUAAUAUAUGUGGGUUUUUUUUUACGUUACUUGUAACCCCUCUAAAUACCCUAUUCAACUAAUGAUACACUUGGCCAGCCAGCCAGGUUAGCUUUGGCUGACCAAAUUACUGGCUAACCUUCCUGGUGUUGGUAGUUGGCCAGUUAGCUGCGCAUGCUAACAUAUUAAGCCCAGGCAGGACACACAUAACCCAUUCCUUACUUUAGCUGUGCUCUUAGUUGUGUAACAUGGCUCUUAAGAUAUCACAAUUAAUACACAACUGUGAAAACCACGAGUCGGUGAAAAUAGCACUCAUAUAGAGUGACAUAUUCAAAGCACAGGCCCAGCCCGAGCUAGUAGCUGUGGGUCAACACACAAUAUCAUAGCCUUCAUACCAGACAUCAUACCUUCUAUGCCCUGCAGUGCUAAUUUAAUCUUUGUUACUAUGAUGUUCAACAUGCAGACAGAACACACAUAGGCCUAUAUAUGACGUGACUUCGGGCCAUUCUACCAAAAACAGAUUUCCUUGUUAUUUUCCAUCAAAUUAAAUCCAUUUUAUUUAGUGACAUCGCAAUUUGUGCGUGACACUAAUGCAAUUUUAUUUCAGAAUUUAAAAUCGGUGUGGGAUUGGGAUCGUCCACCUCAGUGUCUUUGAUGUUGCAGGAUCUCCCAUUUUUGUGGUCAGAUUUAUAUUUGAAAGGACAAUCCGUUCCACUUUCGGCCUCCUUUCGAAGGGGGCAAAAGUGAUCUUAAAACUUACAGUGUUGAUUGAUUUUAAUGAGACUACGACCUUUCAAGGAAACCCAACAAUAAGUGGGAUGGCUGAUUUAAACAGAAUCCAUAUCAAAGAAGCCCCGGGUUGCAACAGUGAACGCAGCUCACCGCAAGAAGAUGAGAAACUCAUUAUUCUGUGAUUCUGUGACUUGCACAGAAAGUCUAAUGCAGAGAGAACUGGAGAGAAAAGAGAAGGGGGGAGGGGGUGGGGGGGCGUCAGCAGAGAAAACAAGUGCGAAAGAGAGAUUUUAAAUGAUCAAGAUUCUAGUCGCAAAACAUUAGGGUUUAUGGUUGGGAUUUUUACUUGGAGCAAACAAGACUCCGCAACUCUUCCAGCUGCCAAGCAUGUUGCAUCAUGAAAACAAUAAAGCCUCAGAGGGACGUGUUGAACAGUAGGAGGGAUGGGAACAGCAUCAAACCAUGCAUCCAACUGUUCUGUGCACUGCAAUUGCAGAUUUUUUAGCAGAACAAUUCACUUUACAGACUACAUAUGUUGUUCUGCAGGUUUAUGUCUCCAUAUCUCAGGCAUUAAUAAGCUAUACAGGUGAUAAUGAAUGAUAACAACGUAGCAGAAUAUAAUUUAAAUUAGGCUGCUGCUGUGAUCCUCGUGUGCAUCAGAGCACACAGCUCAGCUCGAAUAGGAAUACAAAUGGCCUUUUCUGCAUUAAUCCCAGACAAAGAGAUUGAAUUGCAAAUGCACUAAAUAACUGUUAAAGGUUUUGAAUGACAAUCUGUUUUUUCCCCUCCUCUACUGCCUUUUUUAACACAAAUAAUUGAUUUAAACUAUUUCAGUGCAUUGACCACGCUGUCAUGUUGUGUAUGUGAGGGACACUUUAUUGACAGACCCACUCCUCCUUUUUUAGGAGAAGCAUCUGAUUGAACAGGACAAUGUUUUUGAGGUCCAUUGUACCUGGUUUUUCACUACAUAUUCUAACGAGGCUGAAAGUCAACAGCUUUGAUGCUCUGUGCUUUCAGCCAAAUGCAUUAUAAUCUGCUCACAAUUAUUACUUAAAUUGAGCAGUAUUUGCAUUAAUUGCUGUAAAAGUUACUACAGUUGAAGCUGUUGUCAAUAUUGUUAGAAAAAAGAUUUCACCAUUUUAUUCAAUUUAAUUUAUUGUUUUUUUAACCUCCAGACUUAAUGAUCUUUAAUUAUGCAGAUCCAAUCUACGUGAGCAUGGCAACCAAGGAUAACUUCUUUAACAAUUAAACAGCACAUAUUUUGUUUUAAAUCUGUAACAGCUGAUAAAUCAUCUGCAUCAGCGGACCUCAUUUGACCUAGUGUGAAUGUCACUGUGUGUGUUUUUCUGCCCCGGGUCUGCAGUUUAGAGAUUCUACACCUUCUUGAAUGAUGACACGGGUCAGCCGAGCUUCUAUAUUCGUUCUACGCAGAACAGCACCCCCACGGCGGCUAUUUAAAGCAAACUAGAUCUCUGUCUACACAUUACAUAACGCACAUGAAAGGAUGUACUUAACUUCCAUCUUGUAUCACUGACAUGUUAAGCGGUCGAAGUGUGAUUCAAUAUCAGCUGUUAAAGAGUCUGUUGCUGCUUAUAAGCAUAAUCUUUUAUUGAGGGUGUCAUCUGAAGGUCUUUUAGGAGUUGCUGACCCUUAAUGGUCAUUUAAAUCUCCAUUGAAUGGAAUAAAUAUUCAUUUGUUCAGAUCACCUAUGAUCAUCGCCAUGUGUGCAUGCUUCAACGGGUGUGCAGCUAUCCAGAGAUACGGUGUUGGGGUUAUAGUUUGCCUCCACCCAAGUUAUUGUUUUGGGCAACGCGUUUGCCAAAAAGAAAGAAAUAGAAGAAAAAACAGAACGAUCAGCAGACACACGCUGCUAGGUACAUUGCCGCCAGCCACUGCAACGGGAGAAGGCGUCACUAGAAUAAUUAAUUUUCUUGCAAGUUCACAUUUAAUGUCCUGUAUGCUGUCCUGCAAACAUUGGUGUUUGUUUUUGAGUUGAAAUGAAUCGUGUUUUUAGCUGCCAUUAGUAUCUAGACCUUUUGGUUUAGUUUUUUUUAACAAGUCCUGAGGUUGCAUCAAGUUCAUCACCUUUGAUAUUGUAGCCUAGUGUAUACAUCACUAUUAGGCAUCUUUUCAGCAGAUAUUUCUGCUAAUAUAUAAUAUUUCAAUUUAAUCCAGACUGAUUUUAAUUUAGAUUUCAGGGGGUAGGGGGCAGGUUUCCAGAUUAUCAACUGAAAUCAGCAUUUACUUCGGGAAAAAGUAUUUUAAAAAAUGUGACUUUCAACCAUUUGAUGACAAAGAGAAAAUGAAAAUCAUAAAAUGUGAUGAAGUGAAUUAGGCAAAAAGCAGCAGCUAAUGGUGAUAUUUUCCUUUAAACGGACACUUAAAUCUGCUCACGUCUUCUCGGAUGAUUUGAUUCCACACCUGCCAACUUUUAUUCCCUUCCCUUCUAACCAGGCAAUAUCCUGGUAAUGUUCUGUCUGGCUUUUGAGCGGCGACAUAAACUCACACUAGCUGGGUUUUUUUUCACAUGAUUUGUCAUGUAAGGUACUUUAUGAAGGGACAAUAACAUUUUAAAAGAUAUACCCACACAGUUUUGUUUAAUCAUUUGAGGGUUGAAUACUGAUUUGGUUAAACACAUUACAUACCCUGGGCAUUUCUGUUGUGUCAAGAUUUCUUGAAAGUGAAAUCAGGGCAAGGGGUAAAUGUUUGCUAAAAGGCUAAUCGCUACUCCAAAAGAGAAACAGAAAAUGUUGAGGCAGGUAUAGGCACCACAAAGCGACCUGAGAGUCUAAGCUCAGUAUGCAUUUAAAAGAAUAACCAUUUAAAUCCAAUAUGCGUAAAUUGAGCCUAGUCAUUGACAGAUAUACGCAUACACUUUCUGAGAGCACAGUUCUAUUUAAUAAAGGUCCGUCAUACGUCAUUUUGGUCAUGUUUUGGUGGUGGGCGUGCAUUGCUUUGAUUGGAAAUCAUUUUAGGGUGUGUCUUAUGCAGUGGUUAGUUUUGACAGGAAACACGUGACUGUAGGAGGAGUCUCAACAUAUAUAUAGGUGUGUUAUUCGCCAUCAACUUCAUUCUGGACUCAUCCUCUGUUGCUGUUGUUGCUGUUGCUCAAUGCAUCUACUCGAAGGCUUUUUGUACACUGACAUUACUCUGAUAUUACUCCCUUCCCACACUGACAUUCUAGUAGUAGUAUUUGUUUUAGUACUGCAGGUCUGCAUGAAGCAGCAUUGAGAAGAAAUCUUUAAUUAUGCUAAAUAUUCUUUGCUUAAAGAAAGAAGGACCAACCUUAGCGACGUUUUCAUUGAAUGCUUUUAUUUCUGAGCUACUACAGACAGUUUUCAAUUUCAAAUGUUUAAUGCAGAAAGAAAGCUUGUGAAGCUGAAGGGAGACAAAAAAAAAGUCAACUCAUCAUGGAGAAGUGAAUCAUGUAGACAUGCAAACUAUUGAUUUGGAUCAUUAUCAGGAAGUGAACAUUUCACAGAGUAUAAAUGCAUUAAGGCUUUAAGCAUUAAAGCGGAUUUAGCUGUCAGGUCAACAAUGGGCCGACAACUGAGAUCCAAUGUUAAACAAUUACAGGAACUCAGCCACUGCAGGAGGUGGUACUUGCUUUUUGUUUGACAAACUCCUGAAAGUGUACAGGAAGGCACUUGUUUUCAACUUUAUUACAAGCCACAACUACCUGAUAUUUUUCACGGCGACAAACUGUAACCUUACACUUGUCUUCGACUUUCAAAUGAUACAUAAUCAUCUUCUGAGUACUGAUGCAUAGGUUGUUCUGCUUUGGCUGGUAGAUGUCCUGUACACGGCGACCAUUGACACCACAGAUCGCCUCAACGUUUAUCUGAUCGGUCGGCUCGAGGAAGGACUGCUCCGCUCUGUUGCAGAGGCCUUUAUCCUCUAUGUACCUGUGUAAAACAUUGUUGUUUCACUGCAAAGUAGUGGCUAUUUACAAUGUAGUUUAAUAACUUUGAUAUAUGUGUAUUGAGAAGGAAAAUACAUUUUUAAAACAAUGUUUUAAGUAUGAACGGCUUUAAGUAGAGUUGACUUAGAUCGUUCACUCACCUCUUCCAUUGAACCCUUGAUGUUCUGUCAAAUUGCUUGUGAACGAAGUGUUUCUUCACAAAGUCCUUGUACUCCUGUUGGUCACUUUUUGACGUACAGGAUUGAUUUUUCCCCAGAUGGAGGAGAGCGAACAUAACGGUGAUGACCAGAAGAAUGUUCAUCUCGUCUAUGGGAAAGAGAAGGAGAGUUUUAGAGCAUUCUACUCUUCAUCCACUGAGUGCAAAACCAAAGUAUCUAAAGUAAUCAUUAUUAACAGAGUACUGUACAUUAAGGUUAUUAAUUUAAGAUCAGUAGUAGUAGUUUAAGAUUGUAAUGAUCAUCUUCUUUCUCACCUGUGCUGAUCAGCAGGCUCUGUACUGUAGAUGUUGCUCUGUUGAGUCUGCAGCAGGAUCCACUAACUGAUGUUCAAGUCUGAUAAAAACCCAACAAUAUUACACCUUUUUAAACCCACUCAUCUUGCGAAAAUUCAUCAUGACCAAACAUCAUGACAGCCAAUGGCAGUACUGCAAUCUACUCUUUGACCAUAUACAGCUAUAUAUUCUGACAUUCAACUGCAAAACAAUGAACCUCCAAUUCUAUAAAUGGGGAAGUGAACUCUUGCAUUUACAUUUUUAUCAGACUUGAACAUCAGUUAGUGAUUUCCUGGCGCAGCAUAUUCAAGUUUGUGCAAAUGCUCGCUCAUUUAGUUUUAUGUGACUAAAUGUUAAUUCACCUACACAUAUUUGUGGCUCUUUACAUUCACAUAUCAAUCUUUUUCGGUUAUGGGAAGUUUAUAACGGACCUUAAGAUAACAUGGUGACAUAAAAGUAAAUGCGAUAUAACUUAUUUAUGAUCAUUCUUUGUGAGGAAAACUCAAAUCCAGAUUGCUGAGAAAGAGAAAAAAGGAGAGAAAAGAUAAAGUAGAAAGUUUCUGCAGCAUAGAAAGCACACAGUAAAGCUGACACAUUUCAUGGAUGUCCCUUCGCCUGCACUGGGGAAUACAGGCUGGUAUCAAACCUCGCCUUGGGCUGGAACCUUUGUUCUCUGAUAUCAAACCCGCUGUAUGGGAUCAAAAUCCAAGAGUAACAUUGAAAUUCAACCAAAAUAGCAGCAGUGGCCUUUAUAAUAAAUGUUUCCCGAGCAAGACCACCCCUUUUAAUUUCAAAUGCACUAUUUCAAGACACACUAGAUCGCAGAGGAAACGGGGGGUUGAGGGGGGGGGGAUUGAAUCAAUGCCCACUUUGAAAAUAGAGCAAAAAUGUUCUACUUUGCCUCAAUUCCACCAGGCAUGAUAGUGAUGUGGCCAUGUGUGUGUGUGUGUGUGUGUGUGUGUGUGUGUGUGUGCAUGUAUGUGUGGUGUAUGGGAGGAGUGUGCAUGAAGAGCACGCUGUGUCUUGUAGUGAAUUGUAGCAGAUUCUUCCCAGGAGGGGACGUGAGGAUGAACCAAAGGGAACGUGAAGGAGGAUGGGAGGGGGGGUUGUUGGUAGCUAAGAAGCUGACAGAAACAUUAUUCAAAUGAAGCUUCCCUGCUUUCUUUUUUUCUGUCUUCCCCCUGUCGCACACUAAAACCCUGACAUUUAGUCGCAGCGAGAGAGCUGAGACAAUUCAUAAGGACUUUCCACCUUGCUCGUCUUUGGCCCUCAUGGCAUCGAAGGUCCCUGAGUCGUCCUGCGGAAUUACAUGCACCUCAGCCCCCCCGACUCAGGGGCCUCCGCUGUUUAUGAAUCAAAUAUUGGAUUUGGAACGACUCCUGUCCUCGCUGCUGCCAACCACCGUCCAACAAUAGAAAGGUCACAGUGAAGCCGGCUUAUCAGUGCGGCUACAAGGCCUGUCCACUUGCAGCAUGCUGGGCCCGGGCGCUGCUGGUGUUGAUAGUGCUCAAAAGAAAGAGGGAGAGGGUGAUGGGGGAAGGGACGGAGGGGGAAAAUGGAUGAGGAGAGAAAAGCAGCGAGAGUAAGACAUGGGUGGGGGGAGCAUUCAGCAAAUCUGUCGCCUGGACAUAUUGUGCUUUGAUGGGUUGGCUUUCAUUUUUACUGCCGUUUUUCUUUGCUGCGAAGGAGCAGUAUUAAAGUCUUCAAUCUUUAGCUGAUAUUACAGGACAGAUUGUGAUAAACAGCAGCGCGCCUUCCCGGGCCCUUUCUCACUGAACAUCUGUUGGAGCGUUGCACGGUGACAAAAGCAAUGUCAUUAUAACGUACCACCUAAACCUACAAACCACACAGCACCUCAUGGGCUCUUUGAAAAUGGGUGUUGCUUUGGCAGACGUACAGACAGGCAGGCAGAGAGUGUGUGUGUGUGUGUGUGUGUGUGUGUGUGUGUGUGUGUGUGUGUGUCUGUGUGUGUGAGGAGGAUGCACAUCGCAGUGUGUAUGAGUGUGUUUUUAGGAGCCUACAAAAUCCCAUGCGAAUGCUGUUGAGACCUUUACGUGUUGCACAAGGAAAUUACAGCUCAGUCCUGCACAUUUAAGUGGGCUGAAUCGUGUUUUCACAGAUAUAGGUUGACGUUACACAAUGGGACACACCAGUAUUUCAACACCUGUGCGCCAUGUUGCUUUACUGAUCCAUAGCAUGAAGUAGGGGACUUCAUAAAAGUGGCACUACCAUGAUAAACAUCACAGUCCACGGUUACCUACGGUCCCAGGCAGCCUAAGCUGUCCUUUUGGAAAUGGUGGGUGAUCACCACUAUAUUUAUUAUUCAUGUGCAGUUUAACGACGAAGACAGUUUGCAGUUUGGGGUUAGUUGUAUCUUGUGCUCAGUAAAAAAUUAAAAUAAACUAGACCAUGAAGUAGCACUUGCUGAACCUCACAUAACCUGUCCGACCGGGGAUCUGGGGCAAUAGGCAAUGACUCCAGGCUAAUGUUGCACAAUCCAGGGGCCUCGUCAGCCCAUGUGGCGCAACAGUGGAGAGAACGGCUUUCAUAACUUCUUCAAAGGAUCAAGGUGUGGGCCAACAUUUACAGUCCCAGGCAAGUGAUAACUUUGAGUCCCCUCCUUCAGGCCACAACUCUUUCAGAGAGAGCUACCUGGGCUCAGAGGUCAACAUGUAGAUGCACAAUGUAAUCUGCAGACAAACAGCCCAGCCCUCAGCAGAGUCAUCAAGCUCAACAUUGCAGAGUGUCUGAUGGUUGGUGAUUGAAUGCGCAUUACAGUUGAUGAGUACCACGGCGGCAGUCAUUGCCGCAUACCACGCCCGGACCUGCUGUUUGCGAUGAUUAAUUCCGCAAACACAUUAUUUGGAGAAAAAAAACACGCAGAGGAGGGUAACCGUCAAGGUUGUCGGACCGGUGGCUGGAGGCCAAGACUGGGAGACAGACGGACGAAUGCGGGGAAAAGGGCCAGAGGAGGGAGAGAGAAAAAAAAAGACAGCACGGACGGAAAGAAAGACGUAUGAGACCCCCGCAGUGAAUGAGACUGCCUACUUAUCAGCCGUGAGCGUGAUGUGCAAACAGAGGCCUUUCAGGGCUGCCAGGCACACAAUAGCUUUGUUUGCUGUGCAAUAGAAACCAGUUGUUCGCUGCUGAGUCAAUAUUUACUGCCUAAUGGAAUGUGUGCUCUGCUACUACCCCUGCUCAACAACACCAGAUUGGAAGAGGGACUCAUUACCUCCCCUCGUCUGGCUUUCACCCCCCUGCCACCCUCUGUCCCUCUUCGUCCUUCCCUCCCUCUGCUUUAUCUUACCCUUCCUAUUGUAUGGUCCUUUUACUUCCUUUACUCCCCCCUGCGUUCUUAGAGAUUUCGCCCCCCCCCCUUCCCUUCUCUAUUCUGUCCAUCCCGUAUCAUAUCUCUUUCAUCUGCACCUCCCUUCUGAGUAAACACAGUAGGGGAAGCGCCAUAGAUGGUUCGAGACUGAAAUCUAAGCUAAAACAAAAACAGGACAUCCAGAAUACUGUCGUUGUAGUAGUAAAACAAACAAGAGUAGUAGGUGAAAAAAAACUAAAAUAAAUAGCAAGAGUGGACAAUCUUCUGUUCAUGGAGGCCAAUAACCCACCAAGGCUGCAGCUCUAACAGAGAGAGAGAGAGAUAGCUUAGCGAUGAGAUCACUGUGCUGACAGAAUGAUCUCUUUGUGCUGGAGCCCGAUGGUAGGCAGUAAAUGCAUCACAUGUGGUAUUUACACCGUUGCUGCUGAUAAACAGCAGCUGAUAACAAUUUUCUUAAAGGUGCAUGCAAAGCAAAUGGAUGUAAAAAAAAAACGCUCCCUGCUUUGCGUCGAUUCAGCACCUGAAUGUUGAACCAUCAACCUUGCACACAAAUGCACACCUUUGCCCAGGUGUGGCAGGAUAACUGGAGGCAUUACACACUUGUCCGAAUCCAUUUGAUUUUUUCUUUUUUCAAUCACCACUGCGACAAUCCAUCCCUUUCAGUCAUGCUUCAGUAUCGUUUCCCUACAGCUUCAAGGAUUACUGAGGAGAGUACAGUUGUGGGAGUGAUGGUGUGUGUAGGUAUGUGUGUGUGUGUGUGUGUGCGUGACUGUG